rnacentral:rRNA from 1 species
ACGGAAGGCAGCAGUAGGGAAUAUUGCACAAUGGGGGAAACCCUGAUGCAGCGACGCCGCGUGAAGGAAGAAGUAUCUCGGUAUGUAAACUUCUAUCAGCAGGGAAGAUAAUGACGGUACCUGACUAAGAAGCCCCGGCUAACUACGUGCCAGCAGCCGCGGUAAUACGUAGGGGGCAAGCGUUAUCCGGAUUUACUGGGUGUAAAGGGAGCGUAGACGGUUCAUCAAGUCUGAAGUGAAAGGCAUGGGCUCAACCUGUGGACUGCUUUGGAAACUGAUGAACUAGAGUGCCGGAGGGGUAAGCGGAAUUCCUAGUGUAGCGGUGAAAUGCGUAGAUAUUAGGAGGAACACCAGUGGCGAAGGCGGCUUACUGGACGGUAACUGACGUUGAGGCUCGAAAGCGUGGGGAGCAAACAGGAUUAGAUACCCUGGUA